rnacentral:rRNA from 1 species
CCUACGGGAGGCUGCAGUCGAGAAUCAUUCACAAUGGGGGAAACCCUGAUGGUGCGACGCCGCGUGGGGGAAUGAAGGUCUUCGGAUUGUAAACCCCUGUCAUGUGGGAGCAAAUUAAAAAGAUAGUACCACAAGAGGAAGAGACGGCUAACUCUGUGCCAGCAGCCGCGGUAAUACAGAGGUCUCAAGCGUUGUUCGGAAUCAGUGGGCGUAAGGCGUGCGUAGGCUGUUUCGUAAGUCGGGUGUGAAAGGCGCGGGCUCAACCCGCGGACGGCACCUGAUACUGCGAGACUAGAGUAAUGGAGGGGGAAGCGGAAUUCUUGGUGUAGCGGUGAAAUGCGUAGAUAUCGAGAGGAACACUCGUGGCGAAGGCGGGUUCCUGGACAUUAACUGACGCUGAGGCACGAAGGCCAGGGGAGCGAAAGGGAUUAGAUACCCCGGUAGUC